rnacentral:rRNA from 1 species
UACGUAGGGAGCAAGCGUUGUCCGGAAUCAUUGGGCGUAAAGCGCGCGUAGGCGGCCUCAUAAGUCCGUUGUGAAAGUCAAAGGCUCAACCUUUGAAAGCCGAUGGAUACUGUGAGGCUAGAGUCCGGAAGAGGCGAGUGGAAUUCCUGGUGUAGCGGUGGAAUGCGCAGAUAUCAGGAGGAACACCAAUAGCGAAGGCAGCUCGCUGGGACGGUACUGGCGCUAAGGCGCGAAAGCGUGGGGAGCGAACAGG